UGAAGUGGAUUUAAUCAAAGCUUCGAGUCCGUGCGCAGUAGUUUUAACAAACAAAGAAAAGCCAAGGAUCUGAGCCAUAAGAGAGAGAUAGAGAGAAAGUGGAUGGUGAGUUACUUUUUGAUCUUCUACACAAUUCGUACUUGUGUGGGUAUUUUGAUUUCGACCUCUUGGGUUUGGUGUUUGUUGGGUUUUCUGUUUGUUUCUAGAGAAACUACCCAGAAUCUCAAUUUUAUUGUCUCUCCUUGAUGGGUCUGUUUUCUGGGUUUGAUGGGGUUGUUAGAAGUUAGAACUUACCAGAGGGUUGUGUGAGGUGUUUAAUUGUUGAAAUUUUACGUGGGUAAAUUGCAGGGUUUCUGUGGAACUGGUCUUGAUUUAGGAAGCCAUUAAUUCUAGGCUUCUAGCUAAUAUUUAUCAAAUUUGUUGUUUUCAUAACUUAGUUUAUUAUUGGUCUAUUUUAACUUAGCUAAUAUAUAUAUAUAUAUAUAUAUAUAUAUAUAUAAUUUUUUAUGAAUAUUAGCUAGAAUUAAUGGCUUCCUGCAUCAGGUCUUGCUAGGCGGUGAAGGUUAGAUAUUAAACACUGAUAUGUGGUGGUAGAUGUUUCAUUACUGUCUGUGAUUUGAAGGGUACAAUAUACGAUCAAAGAUUUGUAACAUUGAGCCACCAACAACCUGCAUACUGGACAGAGGAACCAGGAUGAGAUCCGAGCACCGGUGUGGUACCUGCCAAAGACACACCGAUGCCCAAGUUAGUAAGAAAAUCAAAUGCUCUUUCGAAUAAAUAAACGAAUGUCAGAUCCAGAAUAUGGAAGGAUGACUGGGAUGGGAGCAGUGUCGAAGAGAGAUUGUCAGAGAGAACUUCAGAGAGUUAGCCUCUAAGGGAGAAGAAAAGCCCCUACCUUUGGUGAUAUUAUGCUCAGUAUUGGGAACACGUGUCCAAACGAAGGUCGUCCAAUCCUUGCUCAGGUUACCGUUAGAGACAAGUUGCCCUCUCUUGCAAACCUGCUGACUCUUCUGACGCCACCCUAUGAUGUGACGCGAGGCUUCUUCAUCUGUCAGGGGUUAGUUGGGUCAUGUCAACAGAAGAACGAGAAAAUCCUUCUGUGUUAGAAACAAAUCAAUUCAAACGUUUCCCCUAUUUUUUUUUUUGUCAUAUUCAAGUAUGUCAGGGAUAAAGCAACGAUAGUUUUGGAUUGAAUAACAGGGAGGUCUCUUAAUUGAGUUCGACAUAGGAUCUCAGAUCCUUGACAAUAUAAGACACGUGUCUUCGACCAAGCUGUUUGGCCCAACUUCGACUUGGGCCUUGGAAGUGCCUUUGUUGUUGGGUAUGUGCUAUUUUUUGUCAUUACAGUUAUCUAGCAUUCUUGUAGGCUUGUAGGAUUCUUAAGUUGAAUUCAGUAUAUUGGUAGUUGUUUGU